rnacentral:rRNA from 1 species
CAUCCUCAGUUCGGACUGGGGUCUGCAACCCGACCCCACGAAGCUGGAUUCGCUAGUAAUCGCGCAUCAGCCAUGGCGCGGUGAAUACGUUCCCGGGCCUUGUACACACCGCCCGUCAAGCCAUGAAAGCCGGGGGCGCCUGAAGUCCGUGACCGCGAGGGUCGGCCUAGGGUGAAACCGGUGAUUGGGGCUAAGUCGUAACAAGGUACC